rnacentral:rRNA from 1 species
CCUACGGGUGGCAGCAGUAGGGAAUAUUGCUCAAUGGGGGCAACUCUGAAGCAGCCACGCCGCGUGGAGGAUGAAGGUUUUCGGAUUGUAAACUCCUUUUGUUAGAGAAGAUAAUGACGGUAUCUAACGAAUAAGCACCGGCUAACUCCGUGCCAGCAGCCGCGGUAAUACGUAGGGUGCAAGCGUUACUCGGAAUCACUGGGCGUAAAGGGCGCGUAGGCGGGAUAGCAAGUCAGAUGUGAGAGCCUAUGGCUUAACCAUAGAACUGCAUUUGAAACUGUUAUUCUAGAGUAUGGGAGAGGUAGGUGGAAUUCUUGGUGUAGGGGUAAAAUCCGUAGAGAUCAAGAGGAAUACUCAUUGCGAAGGCGACCUGCUAGAACAUAACUGACGCUGAGGCGCGAAAGCGUGGGGAGCAAACAGGAUUAGAUACCCCGGUAGUC